AGAAAUAAAUAUAAGAACUUCUAAUUCUAAAAAAAUGUUAAAUCAUUAAUAUUUCUU
rnacentral:tRNA from 1 species